GACGAACGCUGGCGGCGUGCUUAACACAUGCAAGUCGAACGCUGAAGCCCUUCGGGGUGGAUGAGUGGCGAACGGGUGAGUAACACGUGGGCAACCUGCCCUGCACUCUGGGAUAACUUCGGGAAACCGGAGCUAAUACCGGAUAACAUCCUCCUCCGCAUGGUGGGGGGUUGAAAGUUCCGGCGGUGCAGGAUGGGCCCGCGGCCUAUCAGCUUGUUGGUGGGGUAGUGGCCUACCAAGGCGACGACGGGUAGCCGGCCUGAGAGGGCGACCGGCCACACUGGGACUGAGACACGGCCCAGACUCCUACGGGAGGCAGCAGUGGGGAAUAUUGCGCAAUGGGCGAAAGCCUGACGCAGCGACGCCGCGUGAGGGAUGACGGCCUUCGGGUUGUAAACCUCUUUCAGCAGGGAAGAAGCGAAAGUGACGGUACCUGCAGAAGAAGCACCGGCUAACUACGUGCCAGCAGCCGCGGUAAUACGUAGGGUGCGAGCGUUGUCCGGAAUUAUUGGGCGUAAAGAGCUCGUAGGCGGCCUGUCGCGUCGGAUGUGAAAACUCGGGGCUUAACCCCGAGCCUGCAUUCGAUACGGGCAGGCUAGAGUUCGGCAGGGGAGACUGGAAUUCCUGGUGUAGCGGUGAAAUGCGCAGAUAUCAGGAGGAACACCGGUGGCGAAGGCGGGUCUCUGGGCC
rnacentral:rRNA from 1 species